GGGCCUGUAGCUCAGGGGUUAGAGCAGUCGACUCAUAAUCGAUUGGUCGCUGGUUCAAAUCCAGCCAGGCCCACCA
rnacentral:tRNA from 1 species